rnacentral:lncRNA from 1 species
CCACAAGUUUGACCUUCUUUUGUUCUGGUGGUUCAUGAAAAUCAAAAAUUCUUUCUACUGUAUUAAGCCAAUCGAUAAAAUCAUCAACAUUUAUUUUACCUUCAAAUUAUGGAAUAUCAAAUCUGGGGUUAUAUUUAUUCUGCCAAUCGUCUUGGACUUCAUUUCUUCUCCGACAUCUUCUCGACUCCCUUGGAAGAAGUGUA